UGAUCAGAAUGAAAGAGCAUUUGCAGAACGCCGUGUAGACGAUCUUCCAUGGUACUACAUCUGUCCCAUCUUCGCAGGGACGAGAACCUUCCGGCGAGCCGCGCCUGCUACACGACGUCCAAACACAAAGCCAAAUUCGGGACCAGGUUCGGAACGGACAUCGGAAAGCAGGAGUGAACCUCCAAAAGCGACCUGGCUGCUAAGCAGUGCACUACAGACAAGGACACCAGAGUGCGAGAACAAGAUCGACACGGGUACGGCGAAGACACGCAGUUCAUCGCAGCCGUGACAGAUGGCGCCACUAUUCCGGGGCAGUCGAAUUGACAUUUUUCGAGUGACGUCACCGCCGAGGACACCUGCUACAGAUUGACUGUGGACGUAACCGGAGUUCGGUUCUCGAGCCGUUUUCCAUGUGAGUCCCGGAGCCACCAGACGUCCUCAUAUUGCCAGCUGAAGCAGGUGUGCGUGGAGUUGGAUCCUCGAGCCAAUGUCCCGUGUUAGUCGCGGCGCCGCCAGACCAUCGAGGCCGUCCCCCAAGCAACAAGGCGAUGGUGAGAAGCUCCAGCCGCAGGGGACGCCGCUGUCAUCCAGGGGUGCCGGUUCGAUAUCAGGGCCAAAAUAACGCGAUUGGCGGGAGUCUGGUUCUUCCCCGGGCACCAGGCCGAGUCCCGUGAAAAAGUUGGGUCCCGGCUACAGACCCGGCAAGGCGGCGCGAAUGCAGCGAAAGACGGCAGCUUAGACGGCCACUGUUUCGGGGAUUCCUCGCCGCCGCCGCUGCUCGCAGGAGGACGUGUCCCUGCAGAGUAGAACACUGGCGAACAUCACUGCCUCAGUGGUGGAGAAAGCGAGGACGAGGACGACGAGGGUGCUCCGGCCACCGACGCCUGAGGACGGAGUGGCACUGUGAUGGAGGUUGACCCUGUGCAGUUAUUCUCAAGUGCGUCCGAUGAGAUGGUGAAGUCAGCUUCGGCAUCGGUACAGACGAUAGCAUCGACCUGCGUCGUAUUUAGCGAUCCUGGCCAGCAGUCCGGACACGACUCGUCUUCUUCGUGAAGACGACUCUGCUGGUUUCGUGCUCUGGACCGCUACGACACGCCACUCGUGUUAAACAAUGGAGCUUAUUAGAACUUUAAGUUAAUUUUUAUCUGGACACUCUGGGCUUCCAUAUCCUUUGUUACCGCACCGUUUCAAAGAGAUGCCAAUAAAUCAUGAUCUAUUUGAGGUGGAGGCCUUAGGGGAGGAACGUUCUAGAACACGUGGUAAGUAUACUUAUGCUUGGUCUUAACCCUCAUUAGUCGGGAAAGCCUCACGAAAGUUUCUGUGGCACCCAAAGACAGCGGAGAUGGGGGUGUCCGACUGUAGCCACAGGGCUCUUUUCAAGUGUGCGUAAAUAACUCCUGUCCUCUCUUUCCCUUCCUCAUCCCGCUCCCCAGGAAUAGAGUAACAAACGAGACUAAGUCCAAAUUACUUACCUGCGUUUCCUUCUUUUCUGUAUCGAAAGUAAUCUGCAGAGCAGGUAAUAAAGUUACAUGAU